CCCAAAAUCCACCCUAGACGGAAAAGUGAAUUUCUGGUGCUGUAAAUCGUCGAAAUUAGGGUUUUCAGCGAAUAAUUCGAAAUAAAUAACAAAAUAAAUUUUGAUAAUUCGAUAAAUCAUGGAAUAAUGAUAUAUAAGUCUUAAAUAAUUGUUAGAAAAGAUAUGUGAGCGAAGAAUUGAGUUUUAAAGAGUUUUGGUGAGUUCUUGAGAAAAGUCGUCGAUUAAGGCUGUUCGAUGACUAAAUUGGGAAAUUCUUAGGAUUUGUGUAGUAUUCUGGAUUGUAGGGCUUAACAAAAUUUCUAGAUAUGUGAAAUGAAUUAGUAGUUAAGUCAGACCCUUUGGUAGAAAAUUUAGACGAGGAGUCGUUUAACCGAUUAUCGACGAUUUCGUUGCCCGCGUGAAAUCGUAAAUCAGAAUUUCAGGCUAAUAAUUUUAUAAAUUAUGGAAAAUGACCUAAAAUGUAUGUAAAUAAUGUGAGGAAUUAUUUUGGGCCAUUUGAGGGUAAUUAGAAUUUUUAUCGCCGAUUAUUUCGGUUUUUCAUAAAAUCGAUCGUCGAAACAUUUAAGGUGUCGGACGAGAAUAGUUUUAGAUUAAACUAGAAUUAAUGUGCUACGAGAUGGUAUAUAGAAUUCAUAGAUAUGGGAUCGUAUGACAUGAAAAUAAAUUAGUACAAGGAAAUAAAUUUAACUUAAUUAAAUAAAUAAUUAGAAUUUUAAAGAAAAAUCUAGAAGUUGUUGGAUAAAAGUUAAAAGUCAAAGACUUAUCUUCUCUCCCUCAUGAUUUUCGUCCAUGAGCAGCUCCCCACAACCUCCAUAGCCAAAAACCUUCUUUCUCAUUUAUUUGGCUCGUUCGUCGGCAAAUCGGGGAUUUAAUCGUAUAAAACAUAGCAAAUCAACUACACCCAAAUGUAGCAAAUGAAAGGAUAAAGGAUUGGCGAAAGAAGAAAUGUCGAAUGGAAAGGUUUGGAAAUAACGUCAUCCAGGUUAAUUGGAUCGGGGAUUCCUUUGGAUAUUUCUUUCGUUUCUUCGCCAGCACUGCAUCCUCGGUGGGUCACUGAUCACUGCUUGCUGCGUUUGUGUCCAUUUCUGUUAGAUGUGGCAUGUAUAGUAUUUGAAUAUUUGUAAUAGCUUCUGCUGUGUUUGUAAAUGGUGUUGGAAUUUUUGCUGAUAGGUUAAUGAAUUAAGUUUGGUUUUUAAGUGACCAUAAUUUAUGGUACCGUAAUUGUGACAUUUCCUAUUCGACCCUCCGCCGAUCGGGUAGGGGGUGUUACAAGUUGGUAUCAGAGCCUAGGUUUAGGCGUUCCUAGGUUUCUGAUUGGGUUAAAGUUAGUUGCACACACGUCAUAUAGGACAUUGAGUCGUUAUCGCUAUCAGUGACCCGAUGCAGCUGCUACCAUAUGUUGAUACAGAAGGUUGUCAGAAGGGGAUUUGACACACUAUAUGGUCUUGAGGUCGCUAAAGGAUGGGAUAUGAAUUUCCAUGUGACUGAGAAAGUGGUUAUGUGGGACUGGCCACCCCAUAUAACUCGAAUCUCGGUAGCGUCAUUGUCGGACAAGAAAAUUUAUAAGUCGAGUGAACUAAGUUUAGAAAGGUCGAUAAGAAAUGUGUUCUAAUAAAGAGAAAGUAACGAGCACAUAGGCAUUGUGGGAUUCAUGAUGCCAGCUAAAAGAUUAUAAAGUGUAAAAUGAUUAGUAAGUAAAUUUUUGCUAAUUAUGAUUUGAGAUCUGAUUUUGAUAUAUGUUGAACACGACAGUGAUGUGGAUAAUAAAUGAAUGGUCAUAUAAGUGUUGUGCCCUUGCUUAUGCGUUAACAUUGGGUAUAGAAAUUAUUUAUGAUAUAUGAUACAUAGUGUCGUUGGUGGAACUGCUAUAUGAUAUAUGGUGUGAUGGGAGGAAAUAAUAUGAUGUGAUGAUUGGUGUGAUGGGAGGAAGUGAUAUGUGAUGAUGUGUAUAUGAUAAUGCGUAUUAGCCUACGAAUAACAUGUGUUCUGUGAUCUGUAAAUGUGUUGGUUAUGGAUAAGAAUGAGAUCUAUCCUUUGUAUUUGAUUUUGAUAAAUCGUAUGGAUAUAUGAUGUUAAGUUUUAUACGACGAAAGCGGGCUAUCUGAAUGUGAACAUGUGAAUUGAUUGAUACCUGAUAUGGAUGAAUAUGUGUGCUCUAAAUGAGCUAUGUGUACUUGAAGAUGAAGUGUAUGAAUAUGUGAUGUGAUAUGAGUUGGAUACGUAUGUUCUGAACGGGGCACUUGUGUGCUCGAGAUCUAGCUAUAUGCAUGAGAAAUGUGAUAUAAUUGAUAUGUGUGCCCAAGUGAAGGCGAUGGAUGGCUCAUUGAGACCUAUGUAGAAAUUAUUAGGCCAUGUUUGUUACCUUUAAUAAAUUAGCUUAAAUGUAGAUGGGUUAUUUAGUAAUCGCUAUAUUUGAUGAUAUUUAAGGAUGCAUAGGAAUGUAUGGAAUUAUAUGAUGUUUUCAGAUGAAGUGAUAUAUGUAAAUGCGUGCCCUAAAUGGAUUAUACGGUGCAAAAAAAAAUGAAAAAUGAACUAUUAGCAUAUAAUGUGAUAUGAUGAGAAAUUCGUGCGCUACAUGUGAUAAAGGAACAUGUUCGAAGUUAAGGCAUAUGAGAUGAAAUAUGAUAUGAUUGAAAGUAAGAAAUUCAUAUGAAUUAUAUGCUUGAAACGAGCUAUGAGAAUGCAAAAUUUUUUAUGAUUGAUACAUGAUGGGAUUUGAAAAUAAAUAUGGUUGUUGACGAAUGUUAGCUUGUUAUUUUAACUUUGUUGUGAAUUGUUGGUUUGAUUUGACAAUUUAUUAUUAACAUUGCAUCUUGUUGUUUAUAGGAAAAAUGAGAAAUAAAUGACAGGAUCUGAAUCUGUAUGUGCGCUCGAGAUCGAACUAUGUGAUGUGAAUGGAAGUAUGAAUUCUAUAUGGAUUAUAUGUGUGCUCGGAAUUGGGCAACAGGAAAUAUGAUGUGAUGCAAUAAAAUUAUAAGCUAAGUAACUGUACAUGAUAUAAGAUAUGUGAUACAAAAUGUGAUCAGAUUAGAAUGUUAACUCCGUAAGAACUAUGUGUGCGCUCGAAGACGAGCUAAGCGAAUAUGGAAAUUUAAAUGAUGAUUUAGAAAUGAAAUGGAAAACGAAAAUAGGUGCUCUAAGUGAGCUAUAAUAUAUAUGAAAUAAAUAUAUGAGUUUGAAAUUGAGCGAUAUGAGGAACCUAAAUGUGAAAUUACUGAUUAUGUGAUUUUACAUGCUAUUUGAUGAAUGAUUAUUGAAAUAAGAGCUAUGGAUUUCACGUUGGAACGUAUGCGAAAUUCUGUCAGAUAAUAAAAUGUAAAGAAGUAUGCAAUAUAAUUUGAUAAGUAUGCUUAUGUGUAUUAUUGAAUCUGUGACAUGAUGGAACUAAUAAUCUUAAUAUGAUAUAUUAGGGUGAAAUAUGAACUUAUGUGGCAUUAUAUGUGGAAGUUGGAUUAUGUGAUUAUAAGUGCGAUUUUGUGACAAGUUAAAAAGCAUGACGUAAUGCCAUGAAAUGACAUAAGAGAAACCAUGGCGCUUCAGGAGUAAGAAAAUCUGAAGGAAUUUCGAGGACGAAAUUCUUUUUAGGGGGAAUGAGUUGUAAUGCCCCAAAAUCCACCCUAGACGGAAAAGUGAAUUUCUGGUGCUGUAAAUCGUCGAAAUUAGGGUUUUCAGCGAAUAAUUCGAAAUAAAUAACAAAAUAAAUUUUGAUAAUUCGAUAAAUCAUGGAAUAAUGAUAUAUAAGUCUUAAAUAAUUGUUAGAAAAGAUAUGUGAGCGAAGAAUUGAGUUUUAAAGAGUUUUGGUGAGUUCUUGAGAAAAGUCGUCGAUUAAGGCUGUUCGAUGACUAAAUUGGGAAAUUCUUAGGAUUUGUGUAGUAUUCUGGAUUGUAGGGCUUAACAAAAUUUCUAGAUAUGUGAAAUGAAUUAGUAGUUAAGUCAGACCCUUUGGUAGAAAAUUUAGACGAGGAGUCGUUUAACCGAUUAUCGACGAUUUCGUUGCCCGCGUGAAAUCGUAAAUCAGAAUUUCAGGCUAAUAAUUUUAUAAAUUAUGGAAAAUGACCUAAAAUGUAUGUAAAUAAUGUGAGGAAUUAUUUUGGGCCAUUUGAGGGUAAUUAGAAUUUUUAUCGCCGAUUAUUUCGGUUUUUCAUAAAAUCGAUCGUCGAAACAUUUAAGGUGUCGGACGAGAAUAGUUUUAGAUUAAACUAGAAUUAAUGUGCUACGAGAUGGUAUAUAGAAUUCAUAGAUAUGGGAUCGUAUGACAUGAAAAUAAAUUAGUACAAGGAAAUAAAUUUAACUUAAUUAAAUAAAUAAUUAGAAUUUUAAAGAAAAAUCUAGAAGUUGUUGGAUAAAAGUUAAAAGUCAAAGACUUAUCUUCUCUCCCUCAUGAUUUUCGUCCAUGAGCAGCUCCCCACAACCUCCAUAGCCAAAAACCUUCUUUCUCAUUUAUUUGGCUCGUUCGUCGGCAAAUCGGGGAUUUAAUCGUAUAAAACAUAGCAAAUCAACUACACCCAAAUGUAGCAAAUGAAAGGAUAAAGGAUUGGCGAAAGAAGAAAUGUCGAAUGGAAAGGUUUGGAAAUAACGUCAUCCAGGUUAAUUGGAUCGGGGAUUCCUUUGGAUAUUUCUUUCGUUUCUUCGCCAGCACUGCAUCCUCGGUGGGUCACUGAUCACUGCUUGCUGCGUUUGUGUCCAUUUCUGUUAGAUGUGGCAUGUAUAGUAUUUGAAUAUUUGUAAUAGCUUCUGCUGUGUUUGUAAAUGGUGUUGGAAUUUUUGCUGAUAGGUUAAUGAAUUAAGUUUGGUUUUUAAGUGACCAUAAUUUAUGGUACCGUAAUUGUGACAUUUCCUAUUCGACCCUCCGCCGAUCGGGUAGGGGGUGUUACAAAAUAGAUGUGGAAAAAAUGAUUGUAAACUUCAAGCGUUCAUGAACUAUUGUAGAAAACUUCAUUUAAAUUCAAUAACAAGUUCUUAUUGUACAUUAA